rnacentral:rRNA from 1 species
AGCAGUGGAGGGAUAUUGGUCAAUAGCCUAACGGCUGAACCAGCAACUUGGGAGGAAUGUAUAGCGAAAGCUGGUUGUAUUAACUGUUAGUUAAUGCAACAUCGACCAUGUCGAAUAAAAUUCUAGAUAGAAUUAUGAUAAUGACAUUGUCUAUCUAUAUGUCUUGACAAAGUCACGUGCCAGCAGUCGCGGUAAUACGUGGUAGACUAGUGUUAUUCAUCUUUAAUAGGUUUAAAGGGUACUUAGACGGUAAAUUAAGCCACCAAAAUGGUACUAAUUUUCUAGAGUUUUAUGCGAGGGGGGGUGUAUUGAAGAGUGGAGAGAUGAAAUUUUGUGAUACCUUCUGGAAGCAGUCAACGGCGAGUAAGCAACCCUUUAUGUAAAAACUGACGUUAAGGGAACGAAAGGAA